rnacentral:rRNA from 1 species
GACGAACCGAGCGAACGUUGUUCGGGAUCACUGGGCUUAAAGGGCGCGUAGGCGGGCUGCCGCGUCCGGGGUGAAAUCCCACGGCUCAACCGUGGAACGGCCCCGGGUACGGGCGGCCUCGAGGGGGGUAGGGGCGUGCGGAACUGUGGGUGGAGCGGUGAAAUGCGUUGAUAUCCACAGGAACUCCGGUGGCGAAGGCGGCACGCUGGACCCCUUCUGACGCUGAGGCGCGAAAGCCAGGGGAGCGAACGGG